GUCUAUGGCCAUACCACCCUGAACACACCUGAUAUCGUAAGCUAAGCAGGGUUGGGCCUGGUUAGUACUUGGAUGGGAGACCGCCUGGGAAUACUGGGUGCUGUAGGUG
ensembl:rRNA 5S_rRNA 5S ribosomal RNA